rnacentral:rRNA from 1 species
AUUGAACGCUGGCGGCAGGCCUAACACAUGCAAGUCGAGCGGAUGAAGGGAGCUUGCUCCUGGAUUCAGCGGCGGACGGGUGAGUAAUGCCUAGGAAUCUGGCUGGUAGUGUGGGAUAACGUCCGGAAACGGGCGCUAAUACCGCAUACGUCCUGAGGGAGAAAGGGUGGGAGCUUCGGACCUCACGCUAUCGGAUGAGCCUAUGUCGGAUUAGCUAGUUGGUGGGGUAAAGGCCUACCAAGGCGACGAUCCGUAACUGGUCUGAGAGGAUGAUCAGUCACACUGGAACUGAGACACGGUCCAGACUCCUACGGGAGGCAGCAGUGGGGAAUAUUGGACAAUGGGCGAAAGCCUGAUCCAGCCAUGCCGCGUGUGUGAAGAAGGUCUUCGGAUUGUAAAGCACUUUAAGUUGGGAGGAAGGGCAGUAAGUUAAUACCUUGCUGUUUUGACGUUACCAACAGAAUAAGCACCGGCUAACUUCGUG